CCGGCCUAUAGAGUCCGCGCGUAGGGUGCAUUUCCGUUUCCGGCGCUGUCCAUGCGGGCCUGAGAAGUAGCGGUUGUGAACCCGGUUAGAGUUACCUGUGAAUUGGCAAAAAGCCACUAUGGAGACUAAGGACCAGAAGAAACACAGAAAGAAAAACAGUGGGCCCAAAGCUGAGAAGAAAAAGAAACGGCAUCUGCAGGAUCUCCAACUUGGAGAUGAGGAAGAUGCCCGGAAGAGAAACCCCAAAGCUUUUGCAGUCCAGUCUGCUGUGCGGAUGGCUCGAUCCUUUCAUAGGACUCAAGAUUUGAAGACAAAAAAGCAUCACAUUCCAGUGGUUGAUCGAACUCCAUUAGAGCCCCCACCAAUAGUGGUGGUGGUGAUGGGGCCUCCAAAAGUUGGAAAGAGCACUUUGAUCCAGUGCCUCAUUCGGAACUUCACCAGGCAGAAGCUGACAGAGAUCAGAGGCCCUGUAACGAUCGUGUCAGGUA